CCUACGGGUGGCAGCAGUGGGGAAUACUGGACAAUGGGCGAAAGCCUGAUCCAGCCAUGCCGCGUGUGUGAAGAAGGCCUUCGGGUUGUAAAGCACUUUCAGUGGGGAAGAAAGCCUUGGGGCUAAUACCCUCGAGGAAGGACAUCACCCACAGAAGAAGCACCGGCUAACUCCGUGCCAGCAGCCGCGGUAAUACGGAGGGUGCGAGCGUUAAUCGGAAUUACUGGGCGUAAAGCGCGCGUAGGCGGUCUGAUAAGCCGGUUGUGAAAGCCCCGGGCUCAACCUGGGAACGGCAUCCGGAACUGUCAGGCUAGAGUGCAGGAGAGGAAGGUAGAAUUCCCGGUGUAGCGGUGAAAUGCGUAGAGAUCGGGAGGAAUACCAGUGGCGAAGGCGGCCUUCUGGACUGACACUGACGCUGAGGUGCGAAAGCGUGGGUAGCAAACAGGAUUAGAUACCCUUGUAGUC
rnacentral:rRNA from 1 species